GUCAGUGUAAUGUAGUGGUUUGAGUGUUGGUCUAUGACUCCAAAGACCAGGGUUCAAUUCCUCACUGAGC